rnacentral:misc_RNA from 1 species
GGGCCGACUACUAUGAUUACAUGCCCAUGUGGUGCAGUGACUAUUUAGGAUUACUCAUCUUCAUUGAUGUGAUUUUCUAAAGAGAGCUCGACUGGUAAAUACAUCACAGACCUUUCUCAAUGUGCUCUGUAGAUAGCUUGGAUGCAUAGGGAGUUGGAGCCACGAGGUGCUGUCCCUCCUCAAUGCUUAGAAGAGAGGAAGACAUGUUUAUAGUCCAGGGAAAUUGCCCUGCAG